GCGGAAUGCUCUACACAUGCAAGUCGAACGGCAGCACGGGAGCUUGCUCCUGGUGGCGAGUGGCGAACGGGUGAGUAACAUAUCGGAACGUACCCAGUCGUGGGGGAUAACUAUCCGAAAGGAUAGCUAAUACCGCAUACGUCCUGAGGGAGAAAGCGGGGGAUCGCAAGACCUCGCGCGAUUGGAGCGGCCGAUAACGGAUUAGCUAGUUGGUGGGGUAAAGGCUCACCAAGGCGACGAUCCGUAGCGGGUCUGAGAGGACGACCCGCCACACUGGAACUGAGACACGGUCCAGACUCCUACGGGAGGCAGCAGUGGGGAAUUUUGGACAAUGGGGCAACCCUGAUCCAGCCAUUCCGCGUGAGUGAAGAAGGCCUUCGGGUUGUAAAGCUCUUUCAGCAGGAACGAAACGGUCGGCUUUAAUAAAGUCGGCUAAUGACGGUACCUGCAGAAGAAGCACCGGCUAACUACGUGCCAGCAGCCGCGGUAAUACGUAGGGUGCGAGCGUUAAUCGGAAUUACUGGGCGUAAAGCGUGCGCAGGCGGCGACAUAAGACAGAUGUGAAAUCCCCGGGCUCAACCUGGGAACUGCGUUUGUGACUGUGUUGCUAGAGUGUAACAAAAGGGGGUGGAAUUCCACGUGUAGCAGUGAAAUGCGUAAAGAUGUGGAGGAACACCGAUGGCGAAGGCAGCCCCCUGGGU
rnacentral:rRNA from 1 species